rnacentral:rRNA from 1 species
CAUGCAAGUCGAGCGCCCCUCCUUCAAGCAAGCUUGAAGGAUUUUAUCCUUGGAAAAGAAGAUCAAGAAGAGCUUCUAAGAAGCUUUCUUGAUGGAGGGGAGCGGCAGACGGGUGAGUAACGCGUGGGAAUCUACCCUUGACUACGGAAUAACGCAGGGAAACUUGUGCUAAUACCGUAUGUGUCCUUCGGGAGAAAGAUUUAUCGGUCAAGGAUGAGCCCGCGUUGGAUUAGCUAGUUGGUGGGGUAAAGGCCUACCAAGGCGACGAUCCAUAGCUGGUCUGAGAGGAUGAUCAGCCACAUUGGGACUGAGACACGGCCCAAACUCCUACGGGAGGCAGCAGUGGGGAAUAUUGGACAAUGGGCGCAAGCCUGAUCCAGCCAUGCCGCGUGAGUGAUGAAGGCCCUAGGGUUGUAAAGCUCUUUCACCGGAGAAGAUAAUGACGGUAUCCGGAGAAGAAGCCCCGGCUAACUUCGUGCCAGCAGCCGCGGUAAUACGAAGGGGGCUAGCGUUGUUCGGAAUUACUGGGCGUAAAGCGCACGUAGGCGGAUCGAUCAGUCAGGGGUGAAAUCCCAGGGCUCAACCCUGGAACUGCCUUUGAUACUGUCGAUCUGGAGUAUGGAAGAGGUGAGUGGAAUUCCGAGUGUAGAGGUGAAAUUCGUAGAUAUUCGGAGGAACACCAUUGGCGAAGGCGGCUCACUGGUCCAUUACUGACCCUAAGGUGCGAAACCUUGGGAAGCAAACAGGAUUAAAUACCCUGUUAUUCCACGCCUUAAACAAUAAAGGUUGCCCGUCGGGCAUUAUACUGUUCGGUGGCGCACCUACCGCAUUAAACAUUCCGCCUGGGGAUUACGGUCCCAAAAUAAAAACUCAAAGGAUUUGACGGGGCCCCCCACAACCGGUGGAGCAUGUGGUUUAAUUCGAAGCAACGCGCAGAACCUUACCAGCCCUUGACAUGCCCGGCUACCUGCAGAGAUGCAGGGUUCCCUUCGGGGACCGGGACACAGGUGCUGCAUGGCUGUCGUCAGCUCGUGUCG